CCUACGGGUGGCACCAGUGGGGAAUCUUGCGCAAUGGGCGAAAGCCUGACGCAGCCAUGCCGCGUGAAUGAUGAAGGUCUUAGGAUUGUAAAAUUCUUUCACCGGGGACGAUAAUGACGGUACCCGGAGAAGAAGCCCCGGCUAACUUCGUGCCAGCAGCCGCGGUAAUACGAAGGGGGCUAGCGUUGCUCGGAAUUACUGGGCGUAAAGGGAGCGUAGGCGGACAUUUAAGUCAGGGGUGAAAUCCCGGGGCUCAACCUCGGAAUUGCCUUUGAUACUGGGUGUCUUGAGUAUGAGAGAGGUGUGUGGAACUCCGAGUGUAGAGGUGAAAUUCGUAGAUAUUCGGAAGAACACCAGUGGCGAAGGCGACACACUGGCUCAUUACUGACGCUGAGGCUCGAAAGCGUGGGGAGCAAACAGGAUUAGAUACCCGUGUAGUC
rnacentral:rRNA from 1 species